rnacentral:rRNA from 1 species
AUGAACGCUGGCGGCGUGUCUAAGGCAUGCAAGUCGUGCGGUUUCAUUGGGUGCGCAAGCAUUUGAUGGAACAGCGGCAAACGGGUGAGUAACACAUUGGUAACUUACCCCGAAGUUCGGAACAACCAGCCGAAAGGCUGGCUAAUACCGGAUGUGUUCGGUCGUCAUAAGGCGACCGAGUAAAGCGCAAAACGCGCUUCGGGAGAGGCCUAUGUCCUAUCAGCUUGUUGGUGAGGUAAAAGCUCACCAAGGCUAUGACGGGUAGCGGGUGUGAGAGCAUGACCCGCCUCACUGGGACUGAGACACUGCCCAGACACCUACGGGUGGCUGCAGUCGAGAAUAUUCCACAAUGGGCGAAAGCCUGAUGGAGCGACGCCGCGUGCAGGAUGAAGGGCUUCGGCUUGUAAACUGCUUUUCUAUGGGACGAACUUCGGUGACGGUACCAUAGGAAUAAGAGGUUGCUAACUCUGUGCCAGCAGCAGCGGUAAUACAGAGACCUCAAGCGUUAUCCGGAUUUAUUGGGCGUAAAGCGUCCGCAGACGGUUUGUUAAGUCUUGCGUCAAAUCUCUGGGCUCAACCCAGGGGCUGCGUGGGAAACUGGCAAGCUAGAGGGUGGGAGAGGUAAGCGGAAUUACCGGUGUAGUAGUAAAAUGCGUUAAUAUCGGUAAGAACACCAAAGGCGAAGGCAGCUUACUGGAACACUCCUGACGUUAAGGGACGAAAGCAUGGGUAGCGAAGCGGAUUAGAUACCCGCGUAGUCCAUGCCCUAAACGAUGAUUACUGGAUUUUGGGAGUAUCGACCCUCCCAGAGUCGUCAAAACAAGCUAACGCGUUAAGUAAUCCGCCUGGGGAGUACGGCCGCAAGGCUAAAACUCAAAGGAAUAGACGGGGACCCGCACAAGCGGUGGAACAUGUGGUUUAAUUCGACGGUAAGCGAGGAACCUUACCAAGGCUUGAAAUGCUUCUGCAAAUCCGGUGAAAGCCGGACUCCUUCGAGGGUGAAGCACAGGUGCUGCAUGGUUGUCGUCAGCUCGUGCCGUGAGGUGUACCCUUAAGUGGGGUAACGAGCGCAACCCCUAUGCUGCGUUGUACUUUCGCAGCAGACUGCCUCGGAUAACGGGGAGGAAGGCGGGGAUGACGUCAAAUCAGCAUGACUCUUACGCCUUGGGCAACACACGUGUUACAAUGGGCGCUACAAUGGGCCGCCAAAGCGCAAGCUGGAGCAAAUCCCAUCAAAAGCGUUCUCAGUUCGGAUUGAGGUCUGAAAUUCGACCUCAUGAAGCCGGAAUCGCUAGUAAACGCGCAUCAUAACGGCGCGUUGAAUACGUUCUCGGGUCUUGUACUCACCGCCCGUCACGUCAAGAGAGUCGGGGGUACCCGAACUCCGAUGUACUUCGGAGGAAGGUAAAACCGAUGAUAGGGACG